UACGGAGGGUGCAAGCGUUAUCCGGAUUCACUGGGUUUAAAGGGUGCGUAGGUGGGUUUGUAAGUCAGUGGUGAAAUCUCCAAGCUUAACUUGGAAACUGCCGUUGAUACUAUAAAUCCUGAAUGUUGUGGAGGUGAGCGGAAUAUGUCAUGUAGCGGUGAAAUGCUUAGAUAUGACAUAGAACACCAAUUGCGAAGGCAGCUCACUACACAAAGAUUGACACUGAGGCACGAAAGCGUGGGGAUCAAACAGG
rnacentral:rRNA from 1 species